UGCAAAUCGAAUAAGAUGAUAUGGACUC
rnacentral:sRNA from 1 species